GGGCCCGCACAAGCAGCGGAGCAUGUGGUUUAAUUCGAAGCAACGCGAAGAACCUUACCAGGUCUUGACAUCCUUUGACAGCCUAAGAGAUUAGGCCUUCCCUUCGGGGACAAAGAGACAGAUGGUGCAUGGUUGUCGUCAGCUCGUGUCGUGAGAUGUUGGGUUAAGUCCCGCAACGAGCGCAACCCCUAUGUUUAGUUGCCAUCAUUCAGUUGGGCACUCUAGACAGACUGCCCGUGAAAGCGGGAGGAAGGUGGGGAUGACGUCAAAUCAUCAUGCCUCUUACGACCUGGGCUACACACGUGCUACAAUGGUCUGUACAGAGGGUAGCGAAGCCGUGAGGCGGAGCCAAUCUCAAAAAACAGACCUCAGUUCGGAUUGCAGGCUGCAACUCGCCUGCAUGAAGUCGGAGUUGCUAGUAAUCGCGGAUCAGAACGCCGCGGUGAAUGCGUUCCCGGGCCUUGUACACACCGCCCGUCACACCACGAGAGUCGGUAACACCCGAAGUCAGUGAGCUAACCGGUAACGGAGGCAGCUGCCGAAGGUGGGAUCGGUAAUUGGGGUGAAGUCGUAACAAGGUAGCCGUAUCGGAAGGUGCGGCU
rnacentral:rRNA from 1 species